rnacentral:rRNA from 1 species
UACGGAGGGGGCGAGCGUUAUUCGGAAUUAUUGGGCGUAAAGGGCGCGUAGGCGGCCCGGUAAGUCAGAGGUGAAAUCCCUCGGCUCAACUGAGGAACUGCCUUUGAAACUGGCGGGCUUGAGGCCGGGAGGGGGUAGCGGAAUUCCCAGUGUAGCGGUGAAAUGCGUAGAUAUUGGGAGGAACACCGGUGGCGAAGGCGGCUCCCUGGACCGGUUCUGACGCUGAUGCGCGAAAGCGUGGGUAGCAAACAGG